CUCUGGGUAAGUCGGGACCUAAGGCGAGGCCGAAAGGCGUAGUGGAUGGAAAACAGGCAGAUAUUCCUGUACCCGCGAUGGAAAUGAAGGAAUGACGGAGAAGGCUAGUGUGAGCCACUUAGUGGAUUGUGGUCGAAGCAUAUAGCAGGCUGACAGUGAAAUGCGUCAGCGGGAUGUAAGAUGUGAUAGGUAAGGGAACGCCCUCGGGCAAGUACUGAAGCACAUGAUGCCAGCUUCCAAGAAAAGUUUCUAGUAUUAAUUCCAUAGCGGCCCGUACCAAAACCGACACAGGUGGGCAAGGAGAGAAUCCUGAGGUGAGCGAGAGAACUGUUGCCAAGGAACUCGGCAAAAUGACUCCGUAAGUUAGCGAUAAGGAGUGCUCUUGUAAAAGAGAGCCGCAGUGAAGAGGCCCAAGCGACUGUUUAACUAAAACACAGCUCUCUGCAAAGUCGCAAGACGAAGUAUAGGGGGUGACGCCUGCCCGGUGCUGGAAGGUUAAGAGGAUUUGUCAUCCGCAAGGAGAAGCAAUGAAUUGAAGCCCCAGUGAACGGCGGCCGUAACUAUAACGGUCCUAAGGUAGCGAAAUUCCUUGUCAGGUAAGUUCUGACCCGCACGAAAGGCGUAACGAUUUGGGCGCUGUCUCAGCUGUAGACUCGGUGAAGUCUUAGUACCUGUGAAGAUGCAGGUUACCCGCGACUAGACGGAAAGACCCCAUGGAGCUUUACUGUAGCUUGAUAUUGGACUUUGAUGCAAGAUGUACAGGAUAGGUAGGAGACUGAGAGACAUGCACGCCAGUGUGUGAGGAGUCAAUGUUGGGAUACUACUCUUCUUGUAUUGGAGUUCUAACCGGAUGCCAUGGAACUGGCAACGGGACAGUGUCAGGUGGGCAGUUUGACUGGGGCGGUCGCCUCCCAAAGAGUAACGGAGGCGCCCAAAGAUACCCUCAGCUUGGAUGGAAAUCAAGCGCAGAGUGCAAAGGCAUAAGGGUGUUUGACUGCGAGACCUACAAGUCGAGCAGGGACGAAAGUCGGGCUUAGUGAUCCGGCGGUGCUGAAUGGAAAGGCCGUCGCUCAACGGAUAAAAGCUACCCUGGGGAUAACAGGCUGAUCUCCCCCAAGAGUUCACAUCGACGGGGAGGUUUGGCACCUCGAUGUCGGCUCAUCGCAUCCUGGAGCUGAAGUCGGUUCCAAGGGUUGGGCUGUUCGCCCAUUAAAGCGGUACGCGAGCUGGGUUCAGAACGUCGUGAGACAGUUCGGUCCCUAUCUGUCGUGGGCGUAGGAAGUUUGAGAAGAUCUGUCCUCAGUACGAGAGGACCGGGAUGGACAUAUCAAUGGUGCACCAGUUGUCACGCCAGUGGCACAGCUGGGUAGCUAAAUAUGGAAGGGAUAAACGCUGAAGGCAUCUAAGUGUGAAACCCACUUCAAGAUGAGACUUCCCAUUACGCAAGUAAGUAAGACCCCUUAAAGACGAUAAGGUUGAUAGGUCAGGAGUGUAAGCAUGGCGACAUGUUCAGCGGACUGAUACUAAUAGGUCGAGGACUUAACCU
rnacentral:rRNA from 1 species